UACGUAGGGGGCAAGCGUUGUCCGGAAUCAUUGGGCGUAAAGAGCGUGUAGGCGGCUCGGUAAGUCCGCUCUGAAAGCCCGGGGCUCAACCCCGGGAGGCGGGCGGAUACUGUCGAGCUAGAGUCCGGAAGAGGCGAGUGGAAUUCCUGGUGUAGCGGUGAAAUGCGCAGAUAUCAGGAGGAACACCAAUGGCGAAGGCAGCUCGCUGGGACGGUACUGACGCUGAGACGCGAAAGCGUGGGGGAGCAAACAGG
rnacentral:rRNA from 1 species